rnacentral:rRNA from 1 species
UGGCGGACGGGUGAGUAAUGUCUGGGAAACUGCCCGGUGGAGGGGGAUAACUACUGGAAACGGUAGCUAAUACCGCAUAACGUCGCAAGACCAAAGAGGGGGACCUCCGGGCCUCUUGCCACCGGAUGUGCCCAGAUGGGAUUAGCUUGUUGGUGAGGUAACGGCUCACCAAGGCGACGAUCCCUAGCUGGUCUGAGAGGAUGACCAGCCACACUGGAACUGAGACACGGUCCAGACUCCUACGGAAGGCAGCAG